CGAGCAUGUUCGUAUCUAAUCUAUCUCCUACCCCAUUAUUAUUAGAUUAUUCAUCAUACAACGUUUCUAAACUCUGAGCGCGCUCUCUUUCUCUCUCUUCCUCAAUUCAAAUCCAUUCCCCCAUUGUACUACUUCAAUUACUCUUCUCGACAAACUCCACAGAUCCCAUUCCCUCCUUCCAUCCCUGGCCAAUUUCAGAAGCACUAAUCCAACCUACUCAGCCAAUUCAAUCAAUCCCCUUUCCUUCCGAGUCAUUCGUCAUUUACAGCACCUAUAUCCCUUCUUCAUUCACCGCGGUUUGAUUGAUGAUCCAAAUCAAUUUUUGGUGGUGUAAGUGCUAGGGUUGAAUUGGGUUGGCAGGAUUCAUGGAUGAAGAAAGCAAUUCGGCGAUGGUAUCAGGGAAAUCUCUGAUGACGUCCAGAUCGGAUUACAAGGCUGUGGGAGAGAAGCGUCCAAGCACAACUCAUCUGGAAGAGAAUAGCGACCUCGCUCGAAAACGAGUGAAAAUGAGAGAUCUUGACUCCGUGAUUCAGUCUGCAGAAACUAAUACCCGUUCUCGAGGGACCUUUGGGGACAAAGAACAUAAUUUUCCAUUACCAUCGGGUGAAAAUGAUGUUUCACAAGUGACUGAGGUCCCUGUACCUCUGGAACACCAUGCUUCUUCUCAAGCCGAAAAAAUGGGAACGAACGCAUGCUCGGUAGAGGUUAAUCCUGUCCCCAGCUCACUUGAUCUUAAUUCCGAAGCUCUCUGUGCCAGAAUUUUAUCCCGUGAUAGAAGUGGGGAAUGUGGCAAGAAUCCUGCCGAAGUAUCCUUUCCUGGGAAGCAUGAUAGGGGCCCCCUUACUAGUGUAAAUUCUAAAGGAAUUGACGUCGAUCUUAAUGCAGAAGAUGUUACAAGCUGUAUAAAUUUGGACCCAGCACAGGCUUACAUGGAACGCGCUCAAUUUAAGUCUAAAGAUGUUUCUGAGAGUGGUAGCUGUAUUGGGCCUUCAAAAGAAAAGGAUCCUAUGAGACUAUGGAGGGAGAUGAAGCGAAACGGUUUUCUUUCAUAUUCUCAUGGAGGUAUUCCGAUGCCAAACAAACGAGGUAGAAAAAGUAAAAACGAUAUCCUCAAGCAAAAGUUAGAACUUGCAAAAAAAGAGCAAGUUGACAGGUUCUCAAAGAUUGCUGCUCCAAGUGGACUGCUGAAUGAAUUAAACCCCGGGAUUAUUAAUCAUGUAAGAAAUAAAAAACAGGUUCAUUCGAUUAUAGAGGCUAUUGUCUCUGAAAAGCAUGAAAAUGCCAACGUCGGAUGCAAGCAAGCAGCACAUUUUACAGGUGAAAGUACGGAAGUUAGCAAAAGGGAUUUAGAAUACGUAACAGAAGCAGGAAAGCAUCUACAUUUCUUUCAUCGAGAAGGGACCCUUCAUAAUUCUGCGGGUAAUAAGAAAGCAAAAAAGUAUCCUAUGGCUACGGAUGAUUCCUGGACUUUGGAGGGUAAGGUUGGUGAAAAUGACACCUGCAUGGGGGAGAAAGGAAGGUUUAAAAGUUGUGGAUCGCAAUUCACCCAUGUUACCGAAGAUGACAUUUUAGCUCUGAAGUUGUCUUCUUCAACAAAGGCAUCUGUGAGUUCUAGCUCUUUGUCAAAUGAGGAAUCAUCAAACUUUACUAGCGUUUCGUCUCUUUCCCUGGAAGCUGCUACUGUUGCAUCUCAAUGGUUGGAGCUCCUUCAUCAAGACAUCAAAGGGCGCCUCUCGGCUUUGCGUCGCAGUAGGAGGAGAGUUCGAGCUGUUAUUAAUACUGAAUUACCUUACCUUGUGUCAAAGGAAUUCUCAAAUAUACAAGAAAAUGAUUCUUCUGCGAUGAAAACCACUACGGGACUCCCGUAUAGUAAAAUUGCAGAAAUGCAUCGGACAAGAUGGACUGCCUUGUUUGAUCAGAUGGAUGAAGCACUUGCUGAAGAAGAAAAGCAACUUGAAAGUUGGUUAAAUCAAGUAAAAGAAAAGCAAUUGCUAUGUGACCAGGGUCUCCAACAUGUAAAUUGCAACUCAGCUUAUGGUUUACAAAUGCUGGGGACUAUAGAAAAUGACUCCAGAUGGGGUAUACUGCACGAAACUGAAAGUUUGGAGGUGUAUUUUUGAAGCUGAGGAAACGACGGGUUGUUUAAACUUUUUAAGUUGACGGUUCUCAGGAAAGUUUUUAACAUUCAUUUGGCUGAAUGAGUGUGGAUUUGCUGAUAAAUCUGGUUUUAGUUCUCUCUAGUGAGCUCUAGACCGCUGAACUUCGCGAUUCUGAGUUAGGCUGGUGCUAGUAUAUAAAACUGAGCACAAUCAUAUUUCCUAGACGUGGAUUAGGUCUCAUGACGGCAACAAUAUUCAAGUUUCUCAAAUGCACUAAUUUUUUUAUCUUGUGCUUUGCUAUUCACUGAUUGGAAGCUUGGAUCUCGUCACCGUGGUUUGCGUCUAUUGAACUUGCUUUCUGUUGUGAUCUUCUUUAAUGUAACUUUUCAGUUUUGCAUUCGUCGCAAGUGAAGCUUAAUCUGCAUUUUCUAGCGAGUCUACUAUUUCUUGUUUCUGCUUCUUGAAUAUUGCCAACAGAUAGCUCAGAGAAAGAGUUAGCUGUCAAUGCAGCUGCAGCUUCUAUAUACUCAACAUGCAGUUUCCUGUUGUCAGGAGCUAAUUGAUCCCGAUUUGACGUUGAGAAUUGUAACCUCCAUUUAAUUAUGCAGAUUUUUUUCUUCUUUCUCCUCACUGAGAAGCAGUGGCCUUGGUAAUUGUCAUCGGCAUGAGGUCAAAAAAAAAAAAAAAACCUCAGAAUUAGAACAUAGUUCUGAGAUGAGCAAGCUUUGUCGUUUGUUCAGAUUGUAACAUUAGCAUUCAGCAGUGGGAUUUUUUAUCCUCUUUUUACUUUUUUUCACAUUCAUUUACCUGACUGUCAGAGUAAUGCUAUGCCUAGAUAGUGACUGAACUGCUAGUCAUUGCAGUUACUUCACAGUGUAACAUUAGCAGUGUAUUUCCCCCCAUUUUUCACCUCAUGUGCCUGAUUCUGUCAGAGUAAUGCUGUGCCCAAAUAUUUGGCUGAACUGUAUCUUGUUCCAA